ensembl:lncRNA SUCLG2-DT SUCLG2 divergent transcript
CCUGCGUCCCGGGGGCACAGGCGUUCUUAAGGCUGCAGAGCCCUGGGUCCCCCACCCGGCCCCGGUUCACUUUGAGCGGUCCCAAGGCCUGAGGGCCUACUGUCCAGUCCCCAGGUUAUCGUCCUGAGCAAAGACAGACCCCGAGCCCUGCGGUCUUGGGGCUCAAACAGUCCCUGGAUGGCCAAACAAGCAAAUAUUCGCCAUGGCAGUGGGUGCUGGAAGGGUGGCUCACGGAGCUGACGCCCUCCGCAGAGAACCGUGGUCUAGUCCUGCGGUCACGAGGCCUAUCUGGGACAGUGGUGUUUGAGCUGAGACUUUAACGAAUAGAGACAGGUGAGGUUCCUGCAGCCCAGGGCUUCAGCGUGAACAACCCCAGAAGGAAAAAGAGUGCUGUUGUUAAAGGUAUCUGGCAUCAUGGACCCAACCAUCACCAGGAGUUUCUCACUUCAUCUCUGGAUUUCAUCAAAUGGUCUGCUGCACUGUGCUGGAAUUUUGAACUCCCCAGAGUAGUAAACAACAUCUUCUCAAGGGUAUACAAGUCAUCAGAUAGAGAAAACACCCAUUAUAGAGCUGUGGAGCCCUUACGAUAUAGUGCUAUGCUGCAACAAAUUAGACAGAAGAGUAUUUGUUGAAUAAUAAAAGAGUCUCACUCUAUUGCCCAGGCUGGAGUGCAGUGGCAUGAUCUCGGUACACUGCAAGCUCUGUCUCCUGAGUUCAAGCGAUUCUCAUGCCUCAGCCUCCCGAGUAGCUGGGAUUACAGUUUUCCAAUAAUAACAUAGAAAAAAGGAAGAAUUUGAGAGUUUCUCAGAUUAGGCAAUUCCUUGAAGAAUCUGAGAACACAGAAGCUCCCCUCCCUACUUUCCAUGAUUGAAAUCAGUGAUUCAUUGGUUUCUUUGUGUGGGCUUUUGAAAGAUCAUUAGAAACCAACCUGAAGAUCAUGAGAUUCUUGUGGACACAGGAGCAAUGAGUGGCAAUACAGUGCUUUCUAAUGCAACCUACUUUAAAAGAUCUCCAAAGCACCGAUCUAAUGAAAGAAAACUUAAUCUAGGAAGUGAAAGAGAAACCAAGACUGGAAGACGCAGUUGAAAUGGAUUGCCACGUUUAUACAUACAUUGAUUUUUACAUGACUGCAUUCAGAAACAAAAUACCAUCCUCUGUGAUUAAUUUAUAAAGCUUCCCUCUCAGUUAAAUUAAAAACAAAGUGAAUCCAUAGCAGCAGAUCCCCUUUUAGUUAGAGAUCUAACCUCUCUCAAGAAGCAAACAUGGAUUUAUACCUCCCUCAUUUGAUGGUCAGCUUAGGACAAUUGCUGAAUUCUCUGACACUGUUGGGAAUCCGCACAGUAAAAUACAUGUGAUUUCUACUGAAAAUUCAGAUAUAAGUCAAACUGCUACAUUGGAGAGGUAAGAGAUUCUGAUUCUGCCACUUAAUCAUCUUCUGAAUAUUAGGCCAGGAAAGAGGAAGUAUAACAUGACUUAAAUUUUUGAGGGUACUGGGAAUCUAUGCACCUCUCUCCAUAAUUGUGACCUUGACUUAGCUAGUGCGGUCGUGCAGCAUGUCACACAUAUUGGCUGGUAAAAUAUAAGAUGAUUAAAUAAAAUACAUGAAACAAUGUAUUUUUUUUUUUCUGAGACGGAGGCUGGCUCUGUCACCCAGGCUGGAGUGCAGUGGCGCCAUCUCGGCUGACUGCAAGCUCCACCUCCCAGUUUCACGCCAUUCUCUUGCUUCAGCCUCCCAAAGUAGCUGGGACUACAGGCGCCCGCCCCCAUGCCAGGCUAAUUUUGUUUUUGUAUUUUUAGUAGAGACUGGGUUUCACCGUGUUAGCCAGGAUGGUCUCGAUCUCCUGACCUCGUGAUCCGCCUGCCUCGGCCUCCUAAAGUGCUGGGAUUACAGGCAUGAGCCACGGCACCCGGCCGAGACAAUGUACUUUAUUUAGUGGCUACAGAUUCAUUUUUACAUGUAUUAAAAUAUUGCUAGAACCUCAACUCUUUGGUUUCAUGGAUACAAUUCUCAGGACAUUGUGAAAAUAAAGGCCUUAAUUUGAAACAAACUUUAAGACAAUUUUAGAGAAAAUACUACAAUGGGGUAUGCAAGAUAUGCAUGAAGAAAGUGAAGGACUGAAGUAUGGGAACUACCACUAGGGUAGAGUUAUUUUUCUUCCUUUUAAGAUGUUGGUGAGCCUUGUCUGUCUUUUCUGAAGUAUUUGGAGAAAAGGGAGGGAGGACAGAGUGGGAGGAAGAGAGAAAAUGGACCUGACCAGUUAGAGAACUAUAGUUAUUCAAAGUUUAUCAAGUAGAAAAAGAGAAACAUUCAAAAACAUAUUUUGAAAUAUAUUUUGAAAAAGCAAAUACAAACAUUUAGAGAAUAGUGUCAUGAACCCCAAUAUAGCUAUCACCCAAAUUCAACAAUGGAUUUUGUUGGGUUCUCAGAUCAAGUCAUGACCAAUCUUGUUUCAGUUGCAUCCCAUCCAUUUCCUUUCAUCCUCCCAGAUUAUUUUGAAGCAAAUUCCAGGUAUCAUAUCUUGUCUAUAUGUAUCUCAGCAGUCAUCUUAGAAAGAUAAGAACUUUUUUUAAAAACAGAGAUUUCUAGUUGCUUUUCUGGCAGGUAAGAAACAUAGAAGUUGCCACUCUGUCCUAACAAGUACAAAUAAAUGAGGUCAUCAGACCCAUCAAAGAAAUGAGGUCACAGGAAAGACUACUGUCCCCAAAAUUGGAGAGAUUGGGAGCUACAAUCCAAGAUGAGAUUUGGGUGGGGAUACAACCAAACCAUAUCACCAUGCUAACAUCAGUCAAAAGAAGUGGAAGUAGCUAUACUAAUUUCAGACACAGCAGACCUCAGAGCCAGGAAAAUUAUCAGAAAUAAAGAGGGGAUAUUACUUAAUGAUAAAAGUGUCAAUGCUCCAAGAAGACAUAACAGUCUUUAAGAUGUGUAUGCCUAAUGACAGUGUCAAAAUAGUUGAAACAGAAACUGAGAGAAUUGCAAGGAGAAACAGGAGAAUCCACCCUUAUAGUUGGAGACUCCAACACUCCUCUAUUAGAAGAGGACAGAUCCAAAAGGUGGAGGACAUGGUUGAACUCAAGAGCACCAUCAGUCAACUUGUAUUGCACAUAUUAGAAAAGAAGAAUCUCAAAUCAAUAAUUUAAGCCCUCACCUUAGGAAGCUAGAAAAGGAAGAGCAAAUUAAAUCCAAAGUAAGCGGAAGAAAAGAAAUAAUAAAAGCUAGAAUGCACAUCAAUACAAUUGAGAAACAAAAAGUCAACAAAGAAAAUAAAUGAAAUGAAAAACUGGUUCUUUGAAAAGAUCAAUAAAACCUCUAGCUGGGCUAAGAGAGAGAGAUGACAUAAAUUACUAGUACCAUACAUUAAAGAGGGGAUAUUACUACAGAACCCGUUGAUGUUAAAAUGAUAACAAAAGGUUAUUAUGAACAGUUCUAUGCUCACAACUUGAUAAUCUAGAUGAAAUGGACACAAUUUCUUGAGGAAUACAACGUGUCAAAUGUUACACAACAAGAAAGAGGCAAUCAUAAGCCAAUAUCUAUUAAAGACAUUGAAUCAAUAACUAAUAACCUUUAACCUUUAAAAAUAAAAGCACCAGACCCAGAGGGGUUCACUGCUAAAUUAUACCAAACAUUUAAGGAAAAGAAAUCAUACCAAUUCUCUACAAUCUCUUCCAGAAGAUUAAAACAGUGAAUAGUUUCUAACUCAGUCUAAGAGGCCAACACUGCUUCAGUACAAAAAUUAGACAAAGAUAUUACAUGGAAAAACCAUAAAGAGUAAUACCUCACACAUACAUAGGUACAAAAAUCCUUAACAAAAUAUUAGUAAGUUCAAUCCAACAAUGUAUAAAAAUAAUUAUGCACCAUGAUCAAGUGUGGUUAUCAACAAACUGAUUUUAAAGUUUCUAUGGAGAAGCAAAAUACCCAGAAUAGCCAACCCAAUAUCAAAAGAGAAGAACAAAACUGGAGGCAGUAAAAAGUGUUGUGGUUGACAGGGCUUAGAUGAGAGGGACAGAUGAAUAGACAGAGAGCAUAGAGGAUGUUUAGGGCAGUUAAAUUAUUCUGCAUGAUACUUUAAUGUGAAUACAUGUCACUAUACAUUUGUCCAAACCCACAGAAUGUCCAACACUAAGUGAUCCCUAAUGUAAACUGUGGACUUUGGGUGAAAAUGGUGUGUCAGUGUAGGUUUAUUGGUUGCAUUAAAUAUACACUCUAGUGUAUGAUGUAGAGAGUAGGGUAUGUUGUGUGUGUGGGGUGGGCGGGAAGCAGGAGGUAGAUAGGAACUCACUGCACUUUCUGCACUUUUUGCUGUGAACCUAAAACUGCUCAAAAAAUAAA